rnacentral:rRNA from 1 species
UCCGGUGGUCAUAGCGGAGGGGCAACACCUCUUCCCAUUCCGAACAGAGAAGUUAAGCCCUCCAGCGCCGAUGGUACUGCCCCGGAGACGGGGUGGGAGAGUAGGUCGCUGCCGGAA